AACAAGAUGGCUGAGGUGUAGGCGAUAAACUGUAAAUUUAUUAACAAGUUAAGACUUUCUUGUU
rnacentral:tRNA from 1 species